UGGUGGAGUGAUUUGUCUGGUUAAUUCCGUUAGCGAACGAGACCUUAGCCUGCUAACUAGUCGCGGCGAUCUCGAUCGUCGUCGACUUCUUAGAGGGACUUUGUGGCACUAAACACAAGGAAGUUUGAGGCAAUAACA
rnacentral:rRNA from 1 species